GGAACAUUGUAACAUAUCUCUGGGUCCAUCACCUGGAUAAUGUGACUCUUCUUGGGACCUAUUCACAGUGAAAAUUGUGACACAUCUCUUGGGUUCUGCCCACAAGGGAGAUUUUGACUUAUUGCUGUCCUCAAAAUGAAGGUGAUGUGACACUUUUGCCUUGGACCCACCCUUGAAGACAUUGUGACAUAUUUCUUAGCUCAGCAUCAAAACGAUGUGUCUUCUUAGUAGACUCUGCCAACAUGGGGCAUUGUGACAUAUCUUUGGGCCCAUCAGCUAUUGAUGUAACUCUCUUCUCUUACAUGGACUUUGCUCACAGAAGAGACUAUGAAAUAUCUCUGGGCCCAGCAAAUAGGUGAUGUGACUCUUCUCUACUGCUUGGGCUCUGCUCAUGAGAAAAUUGUGAUGGAUUGCUGAACCCAGCACCUAGGUAAUGUAACUCUCUUCUCUUGCCUGGGCCCGGCAUAAAUUGUGUAUUGUGACAUGGGGCUCGAUCACAAACCUAGGUAAUGCUACUCUCUUGCAUUGGCUCUGCCCACCAGGGUAUUAUGACACAACUUUUCAUUCAUCGCCUAGGCGAUGUGACCCCCCGCUUCUGCUUGAAUCUUGCCAAAAGAGGAAAUGAUAACAUAUCACUAUACUCAGCACCUAGGUGCCAUGACUUGCCUUUUUCCCCAGGCAAUGCAUAUAUUGGGAAUUAU
rnacentral:lncRNA from 1 species